ensembl:snoRNA
CCCGCCACUGCACCUGAUUCCAGUCUUAUGUUGGCUGGUGCAAUCCAGUGGUGAGCUGAGAGGAAAAACCCAGCUUAGGAAACAGGGUUAUUCUGCAUGUGGGUGACUCUGUGCCGAAAGCUUGGGAACAUGG